GACAAACGCUGGCGGGGUGCGUGAGACAUGCAAGUCGAACGAGGAGCCUCCGAGCUUGCUUGGAGGCUUCCUAGUGGCGGACGGCUGAGUAACGCGUUGGUGACCUGCCCCAAAGUGUGGGAUAACAGUCCGAAAGGAUUGCUAAUACCGCAUGUGGUCAUUGGCUUUAGAAACUGAUGACUAAAGGGGUAAUUCGCUUUGGGAGGGACCUGCGUCCCAUCAGCUAGUUGGUGAGGUAACGGCUCACCAAGGCGACGACGGGUAGGGGACCUGAGAGGGUGGCCCCCCACAAUGGAACUGAAACACGGUCCAUACACCUACGGGUGGCGGCAGUAGGGAAUAUUGCUCAAUGGGCGAAAGCCUGAAGCAGCAACGCCGCGUGUGUGAUGAAGGCCUUCGGGUCGUAAAGCACUUUUCUGGGAGAUGAGAAAGGACAGUAUCCCAGGAAUAAGUCUCGGCUAACUACGUGCCAGCCGCCGCCGUAA
rnacentral:rRNA from 1 species